GCUUCCUUUUCCGCGCAGUCUCCGAAGGUGGAUGGCGUUUGGGCCGACCUUAGCUAUGCCUUCAGGGCGGUGGCAGCGCCUGCGGCUCGGUCCCCAGGCUCUUCGAGCCUAUAGGUAGCUGCAAAUGAAUGCAUAAGUCCUCUGGUGGCAGUUAAAAAUACAUCACUGCCUCAUAAUGCAACAUGUUAGAAGGAACAAUGAAGAAUUGGUCAAGAAAACAUGAACAGAAGCAAAUGAUACAAAUAUUUGAUGUUGAAAAAUUCACAAAUUAUGUAGAAAAAGACUAAUUGUAAUUGCUGAAUAAUAAAUUCUUUUCUUUAAAAUACAUCCUCUUGAAAGCAUCUGUGUUCCUAAUUUUUAGUCAGACCUAUUUUCAACCUACUUUAAGCAUACUGUUGUCAAAAACUAGCUCAUUUGUAGGUGGUGAUUCUUAUUGAAAUGGAC
rnacentral:lncRNA from 1 species